rnacentral:misc_RNA from 1 species
CUGAAAAACAUAAACCUGUCCAUAGAAUUCCGCGAAAUCAAAUUCAUGGAAACCAAAUCAAAACCCAAAAUUCAAAUCCCAAACAACAUGAAACGAUCAUCCUCUUCCAAUUCCGAUUCACACUUCGAGUCCCCCCACUCCCCUCUCCGACUCAAUUCGCCGCUCCCUUCCGACCAGGGCGAUCCCCAUGAGUCUCCUCCCUUCGUCUCCCCGAUGAACUCCCCGGGAAAGUCUCCACCGAUGGAUAACUCCAUGGCUAUCGUCGCAGUUAAUAAGUUUCCGAAGCCAUCCCCGCUCCCGCAGGAAAAUGCUGCGUAUCCUCAGGCGCCGGCGAUGACGUUUAACAGGGCGGUGAGAGAAGAGGGGCCUCCAGUCGUGGGAAAGGUGAGGCCUGAGGGGAGAUCGGCGGUGGUGGAGCCUUGGAAAUCAAGGAGAGAGGAUAUGAUGAAGGUCGCUGAGUUAGGGUUUAGAAUUAGUGAGUUUGUCUUGUGCUUGAUUUCGUUCUCGGUAAUGGCAGCUGACAAGACUCAGGGGUGGAGUGGUGAUUCCUAUGAUCGAUAUAGAGAAUACAGGUAUUGCUUGUCUGUGAAUGUUAUUGCAUUUGUAUAUUCAGGAUUCCAAGCUUAUGAUCUGGGCUACCAUCUGGUCACAGGCAAACAUGUGAUCCGCCACCACCUACGCCGUAAUUUUAAUUUCUUUAUGGAUCAGAUAUUGGCAUAUCUUCUGAUAUCAGCUGCUUCAUCAGCAGCCACCCGGGUCGAUGACUGGCAAUCUAAUUGGGGCAAAGAUGAGUUUACAGAGAUGGCUAGUGCUUCAGUUGCGAUGGCCUUCCUAGCUUUUAUUGCCUUUGCUGUUAGCUCGCUCAUUUCUGGUUACAACCUAUACAAGAAUAGCUGAUCUCGGAGGCAGUGUCAUACUGUAUCAAAUAAUGGUGUGGGGAAAGGAAUUAAGAAAAUGCCAAUUUCCAAUCAUUUUUCUUACGCUGUACAGAGACAGACAGCCAUUUUUUUUCAGCCUUUUUUCUCCUCUCCUUUUCUCCCUCCCUUUCAGCAAUAGAGAAAAAUUGAACAUUUGGAAUGUAUAUGAAGCCACGCUACCAAGCCAUCAAUAACAGAGUAUGUUAGCAG